AGGGCGGACAGCGCCCGUAGCGUGCGUCGUCCCUCCCCCCGCACCCCCCCGCCCGACCAGGAGAGGGGUUGGGGUGGCGGUUAUCCCCCCUCCCUUUGGGGUUAGGAUGGCGUGGGAAAGCGCUAGUUCCAGAGAAGAGGAGGCGAAGCCCAGACCGCGGGAGAGCUUUCUGGGGAGGGAGGCCCGGGGGAGGGGAGAUCCGGGGCCGGAAUAGGAGGGGUUCCCGAGAGAGGAUGGCGGAGAGGCGUGAGAAGCCUCCGGAUCCCGGGCGCAGAGGACAGGGGAGGAACAGGCGAGGAGGCAGUGCGGGGGAGAGAGCAAGGGCAGCCGGCGCAGGGAAGGAGGAACUGGCGCCACCUCUGUCCUGAUCCCGACACAGGAGGAACUCAGGGGCAGCUCUGUCCUGAUCCCCACACAGGAGGAACUGGCGCCAAGAACGUCAUAGACAGAUGGAAGCUCAAGCCUCUGCUCCACCCCUGAAGGUCUCUGGGAGCUCAGAAUUGGGAAGUGGAUAACCUUGCAAGGUGGAGCUUAUUGAUGUAAGGUCCUCCCCAGGCCAACUCCAGCUGCUUUGUAAAUAGUCAUUAGAUGACAGAAGUACCUCCUUGCAAAUAAAUAGCCUUUAAUAGAUGUCAAAA